rnacentral:rRNA from 1 species
UGGGGAAUAUUGCACAAUGGGCGCAAGCCUGAUGCAGCCAUGCCGCGUGUGUGAAGAAGGCCUUCGGGUUGUAAAGCACUUUCAGCGAGGAGGAAGGUGGUGAACUUAAUACGUUCAUCAAUUGACGUUACUCGCAGAAGAAGCACCGGCUAACUCCGUGCCAGCAGCCGCGGUAAUACGGAGGGUAGCAAGCGUUAAUCGGAAUUACUGGGCGUAAAGCGCACGCAGGCGGUUUGUUAAGUCAGAUGUGAAAUCCCCGGGCUCAACCUGGGAACUGCAUUUGAAACUGGCAAGCUAGAGUCUCGUAGAGGGGGGUAGAAUUCCAGGUGUAGCGGUGAAAUGCGUAGAGAUCUGGAGGAAUACCGGUGGCGAAGGCGGCCCCCUGGACGAAGACUGACGCUCAGGUGCGAAAGCGUGGGGAGCAAACAGGAUUAGAUACCCCUGGUAGUCCACGCUGUAAAACGAUGCCGAUUUGGAGGUUGUGCCCUUGAGGCGUGGCUUCCGGAGCUAACGCG